rnacentral:rRNA from 1 species
GUGGUGUUUAAAUGUCAUUUUGGUUUGUUUGUCUUUCGGGGCAUUCAGGUCAACUUGGCUUUUACUCACUGUUGUCAUUGUCUUUGCCCAAGGUAUAUGCCUUGUGUGCAUGGCAUUGACCUUCUAUUUUAUGGUAAUGUUGUAUCUUUCGGGGUACAUUCAUUCCAUAUAGUUUACUUUGAAAAAAUUAGGGUGUUUAAAGCAGGCGAAAAGGCUUCGGAAUAUAUUAGCAUGGGAUAAUAGAAUACGAUCUAGGUCGUAAUUUGUUGGUUUCUACGGCUUAGGUAAUGAUUGACAGGGAUAGUUGGGGUCGCUCGUAUUGAGUUGUCAGAGGUGAAAUUCUAGGAUUAACUCAAGACGAACUAAUGCGAAAGCAUUCGGCAAGGAUGUUUUCAUUAAUCAAGAUCGAAAGUUGGGGGAUCGAAGAUGAUCAGAUACCGUCGUAGUCUCAACUGUAAACUAUGUCGACCGAGGAUCCGGUAGCGUUACAUGGAUGACCUUCCGGGCACUCUGUGAGAAAUCAUAAGUAUUUGGAUUUCGGGGGGAGUAUGGUCGCAAGGCUGAAACUUAAAGGGAUUGACGGAAGGGCACCACCAGGAGUGGAAUCUGCGGCUUAAUUUGACCCAACACGGGAAAACUUACCAGGUCCGGACACAGUGAGGAUUGACAGAUUGAGAGCUCUUUCUUGAUUUUGUGGGUGGUGGUGCAUGGCCGUUUUUAGUUGGUGGAGUGAUUUGUCUGGUUAAUUCCGUUAACGAACGAGACCUUAACCUAUUAAAUAGCUGCGCGAACCCAGGUUCUUUAACCAUUCUCUCCUUCGGGGGGGCGUGGUAUCAUUAUUUUGCUUUUCACUUUCGGGUGGGAGGUAGGGUAGUGAUAGGGCCUGAGAUGAGUUGGUGAUUUGGCUUCUUAGAGGGACUACUUGCAUCCUUAGCAAGGGGAGGUUUGAGGCAAAAACAGGUCUGUGAUGCCCUUCGAUGUUCUGGGCUGCACGCGCGUUACACUGGCGCAUGCAAAGAGUUUAAAAUUCCUGUCCCGAUGGGGUUGGGAAAUCUUUUAAAGUGCGUCGUGAUGGGGAUAGAGCAUUGAAAUUAUUGCUCUUGAACGAGGAAUUCCUAGUAAUUGCAGGUCAUCAACCUGCAAUGAUUACGUCCCUGCCCUUUGUACACACCGCCCGUCGCUCCUACCGAUGGUUGAACCGAUGAGGACUCGGGAUGAUCUUAUUAGAUCGGUCGGUCGAAAGAUCGAUAGACUAUUAGGUCAGAACUUGUUCAAAUCUUUUUAA